rnacentral:misc_RNA from 1 species
AAUUAAUCCCUGCUUGGACACAAGAGUAGAUAAAAAAGGAGCUCUUAAGCUCUUUGUGAAUACAUCGGCCAGUUGAUCUUGAGCUGGUAUGUGCUGGGGUUUAACAAAUCCUUUCGUCAGCUGCUCGAUUGUCGCAAUACAAGGAGAUAGAAAGAGAAAUUGAUAUCUGAAAUGUUUGAAGCAGGUAGGACAACCAUUGAAUUUCAUAAACUAUGGAGGCCAUACUUCUAUAUUUAGACUCGGCAGAAAAUCGACCUACAGUCGACUACUUUUAGAUUUCCAUGAGAUAAGAGAUUUGCCAAGAAAUAUGCAAAAACCUAUUACUGAUCUUCGAGUUUCAGUACAGAAGGCCCAAUCGGCAUCGCAAAAGGCUGUUAAUUCAUUGUUGCCAUUAUUUACAGCAAAGAAUAGCCCUUUCCCAGGACACCCUUUAAGGUAUCGUAGGACAUGGAUGGCAGCAUUCCAAUGGAGUUGUCAAAGGCACUGCAUGUAUUGACUAAGUUGCUGAACAGAAAAUGCAAUAUCUGGUUGAGUAAGAUUGAGAUACAAUAAUUUUCCAAUGUGCCUUCUAUAUUUGUCUAAAGCCGGAAGGAUGUCACUAGUCUCAAAGGAAAGUUUCAUGCCUCGUGGGAGAAGUACUUGAGCUGUUUUUGCAUUGCAUAUACCAAGGUCUUUUAAGAUAUCCAGAAUAUAUUUCUUGUGGCUAACGUAUAUACUUGCAGUGGAAUGAGCAAUUUCCAACCCUAGGAAGAACUUUGCAAUUCCCACAUCCUUGAUUGUAAAAGUUCAAUCAAGGAAUGUCUUAGUGCUAGAAAUAUCAGCUUUGUAAGGGCCCAUAAUCAAUACGUCAUCAACAUAAACUAUCAGGGCAAGGAAAUGUUCUCCAGUUCCUCGAGUAAAUAAGCGGUGAUCGUGAGGGCACUAAACGAAGCCAAACUGAAGUAAUUUUGAAGUGAACUCCUUAUUCCAUUGGCGGCCAGCUUGCAUUAGGCUGUGCAAUGAUUUUUUUAGCUUACAGACUUGUCCUUCUUUGGCUUUUAUGUAUCUGGGUGGUGGCAACAUGUAAAGCUCUUCAUCAAUGGACCCGUGGAGAUAAGCAUUGUUGAUAUCGAUUUAAUGGAGGGGCUAAUUUUGAGCAGUCGCAAUUGCUAAAAAUAGUCGAACUGUGACCAAUUUGGCUACAGGGUUGAAGCUAUCUUUGUAAUCAAUGCUUUCAAGUUUAUUGAAGCCUUUUGCGACGAGGCAUGCUUUGUAUCAAUCUACACUGCCAUCUUGUGUGUGCUUGAUUCUAAAAACCCAUUUUGAUUCAAUGGGUCUUUUAUGUGUGAGGUAAUGAACCAAAUCCCACGUUUGAUUAAUCUCCAGUGCAUCAAGUUCUUGUUUCAUCACUAGUGCCCAAUUUGGGUCCAUCUUUGCUUGCUCAUAUAAAUAGGUUCUUGAGUUAAUGAUACCGAUGCAACAAAUUCAAGGUGAUUGUGAUCGAAACAAAUAUUGAAAAAUUGAAAAGGAUGAUUGUCAAGCUUACCUGAAUGUCUUUGAACUAGGAGAAUUACUGCCGAUAUAUGGGAAGGAUGGACUGAUGUUGACAGUAGCCACAUAAUUGUUGAACCAGGUAGGUGGUACAUAAGUCCUCGUGCUUUUUCUUGUUGGUGGAACUGGGAUAGUAGUGGUGGUGUCUAUUAGCAGUGUGGUAUCAUGAGUGAGCUUAGCGAUGUCAUCUUCAGGGACAGGAUAAGGAGCAGGUAUUUGGGGUUGGUGAACAAAUUGGUAGGGAAAUAUGUGUUCAUAAAACUUUACGUUUUGGACAUAUAAAUAAUGUUGGUCUGCAAAUCCAUGAGUUUGUAAGUCUUAUAGCCUGUAGCAUGUCCCAAAUAAAUGCUUUUAAUUGCUUUUGGCUCAAAUUUUGUUUUGGAUGGUUUGGUGUUGGUGCCAUAACACAGGCAUCCAAAGGUUUUGAGUAGUUGGUAGUCAGGUGGUUUAGAAUGAAGAAUUUCAUAUGGGCUUUUCCAAUUAAGGACUGCAGUGGGCAAUCGAUUUAUGAUGUAGGUGGCAUGAAGAAUGGUGUAUCCCCAGAAUUUUUGCGGCAGAUGUGAUUGAAACAAAAGGGCCCGUGCAACCUAGAGCAAAUUUUUAUGUUUUCUUUUGACUACCCCUUUUUGUUGGGGAGUAUAGGUGCAAGUCUUUUGAUGCAGAAUGCCUUUUUGGGUAGACGUUCCUCACAUUCAUGAUUGAGAAACUCAGAUCUGUUGUCUAUCCGAACGGUUUUGACAGUGGUGUGAAAAUGAUUUUCAAUGAGGUUUAAGAAUGUGGUUAUGGUGGAGGGUACUUGAGAUUUAUCGGCUAGUAAAUAUGUCCAGGUUGAUCUGCUAUGAUCAUCCACAAUGGUUAAAAAGUAAGAUGCCCUUGCAGAUAUUUAGUUCCGUAUGGGCCUCAUAAGUCAAAGAUGCAAUAGUUGAAAUACGGUUGAGCUAUUGGUGGUACUUGUAAGAAAAGGUAGCCUUUGUUGUUUGGCCAAAGGACAAAUUCCACAAUCAAAUUUUUCUUCACUGUACUUUAUAUCAACAAUACGAGUAAGUUUAGACUUAGAAGCAUGUCCGAGCCUCAUGUGCCAUAGAUAGCAAUCACAGGUACUACUGGUUACGUUUAAGGAUUCAAUACAAUUAUUUGAUUGCUGAUAUAAGUCAUUAGAUGGAGUGGACACAAAAGGAGGUUGAACUUGGUUGAACGAAUCGGUGGUUAGCUUAUAUAAUCCUCUGUCCAUCCUUCCAAUAGCUAGUAAUUUCCUACUCCAAGGGUCCUGGACAUAACGAUAGUUAUUAGUGAAGAGAACAUGAAUAUGGGAAUCUUUGGAUAGCUGAGAAAUGUAUAACAAGUUGUGUUUGAAUUCUUG